UAUAUACAUAAAAAAAGCAAAGAGUACACGCAUUAGAUUUUUUUUAGAAAGGUUUCUGGCAAAACAAAUAUUUAGGUUUUAAAAUUGAGAAAGCUUGAUUUAGUGUUAUUAAAGGAUUGAGAGAAAUAUGGUGUUAGAGUAUGUUUUUUAGAAAUUUUUUAAAAUUUAUUGAGAAAAUUUUUAGGUUUUUGUCAAAUUUUUCGAUGAAAUUCAUUUUUUUUUAUGAUAUUUCUUUUAGUUUUCGAUGAAAUCUGACUUUUUUAAUGAGGUUUUAGAUUUUGGUGAGGAAUUUCAAAACACAACGACCGACGUUCAUUGGUUUUUAAAGAAAGGGACAGGAAAAGAAAAAGAGAGAGAAAAGGUUG
rnacentral:lncRNA from 1 species